AGCACUAAGUUCAAACAUAACCCUCCUCUCCAAUUCUCAGUUGUCUAUCUGUGUGAGACAGUCUCUGAGGUUGUCUCGAUGGCUUCAACAUCAUCAUCACUCUCAUUUUCUUCCUCCAUUCUUCCUUCACCCAUUCCCCAUGCCAAAUCCAACCCAGUACCCCAAAAUCCAAUCUUUCGGGUUACCCACUGCUCAGUUUCAGCUCAGGCGUCAAAAGCUGGUUCUUCUUCAUCUUCUGUGUCCAAACACCGACGACAACGCAAAGAAACUGAGUUUCCUCAAGAAUUGUUCUUUGAGAAUAUGUUGGAGAAACCCAAGAAGAUGAAGAAGGAGAAGAAAAAGGUGAAGAAGCAGAGCAAUCUUAAGGCCUGGGCUUACACUCUCACUGAAGCCUUAUCCGAUUGCAUUCACCAGAACCAAUGGCUUAAAGCCCUUGAGUUAUUUGACAUGGUUAGAGAGGAACCCUAUUACCAGCCCAGAGAAGCAACUUACAUGAAACUCAUUGUGUUGCUUGGAAAAUCAGGACAACCCCAUCGUGCCCAUCAGCUUUUUGACAUUAUAAAAGAAGAUGGUUGUGAAAGUACCAAACUUUACACGGCCUUAAUUGCAGCAUAUUGUCAGAACAACCUGGUUGAUGGGGCACUUUUGAUCCUUGAUGAGAUGAAGAACCUCCCUCAAUGUCAGCCUGAUGUUUUAACUUACAGUACUUUGAUAAAAGCUCACCUGGAUGCUCUGAAAUUUGAACUGGUUGAGUUGCUGUUUGAAGAAAUGGCUGAAAGAUCUAUCACACCAGACACUUCCACUCGGAACAUUGUCCUCAGUGGUUAUGGUAAGGCUGGGAGGUUUGAUGAGAUGGAGAAAAUGCUGUCAAGUAUGAUGGAGAGCUCUACAUGCAAGCCUGAUGUUUGGACUAUGAACACGGUCGUCAGUGUCUUUGGUAGUAAAGGUCUGAUUGAUAUGAUGGAGAAAUGGUAUGAAAAGUUAUGUAAUUUUGGGAUACAGCCAGAAACACACGCUUUCAAUAUUUUGCUUGGAGCAUAUGGGAAGAAAAGAUUGUAUGGCAAAAUGUCGUCUGUUAUGCAGCAUAUGCGCAAGGUUCAAUGUCGAUGGACGACCUCAACUUAUAACAAUCUGAUUGAGGCAUUUGCAGACAUUGGCGAUGCUGAAAGCAUGGAGCGCACCUUUGAUCAAAUGUGCUCUGAGGGUUUGAAACCAGAUACGAAGACUUUCUGCUGCCUUAUCAAUGGUUAUGGCAAUGCUGGUAUCUUCCAUAAAGUAGUUAGCAGUUUUAAUUUGGCUGGGAAGCAUAAGAUACGUGAGAAUACUUCCUUUUACAAUACAGUCAUAUCUGCAUGUGCCAAGGAGGAGGCUUUGAUGGAAAUGGAGAGAGUUUUCGAGCGUAUGAAAGAAAAACAAUGCCAACCAGAUGAAACAACAUACUCCAUCAUGAUUGAGGCUUACAGAAAAGAAGGUAUGAAUGACAAGGUAUACUAUUUGGAGCAGGAGAAGCAAAUGAUGAUAUCUGAUGACAAAAGAUCGAGUGAGCCAGAGGAGACGAUCCAUGGUUGAUUUCUGGUUUAGAAAUUUGAGUGCUAAUGCAUCUGCCUCUCCUCCAUCUUUUUGAAGCUUCUUUGGAUCCCAUUUGAAUGAGGACCAAAGAGUACUCAUUGGCCUUUAUAUAGGCUCCAAUAAGUGUUUUUUGCUUUGGAUCCAAGUGGGCUCGUAGUCUUUCUAUUUGAUAUAAAAAGAACCAAUCAAUCAGGCUGUCAUGCUUCAUUUUUUGUGAUGAAUAAGAACUCCUGCCUAACUUCAUAGUGGGAAGGCGAAAAACACAUGCUUGUCUGAUUUGGGUCCACUGCUGCCAAUGACAGCACGAAAGAAGAAGGGAAAGUGAUGAUGGUGGUUAAUUGUAAAGUGUGUGGUUAAAAUGAUGAUUUUAUUUAUAAUUAAAAUAUCUUCCAUCGUGAGAAAGUCUUUACGAGGUUAUAACAAACUUCUACACCGGUACCGAUAGCCUAAAUGGUACUUGAUGGAUUAGAAUUCUUCAAGUCCAGGGUUCAAAUCUUACCGGUACCUAGAUACCAAACAAACUUCUACAAUGACUUCCUACUACUAUUUUGUC